CCCUGGCCCCGCCCCUCGAGGCCCCCUCAGGGCUGCGAGCCCGGUGUCUGUGCGGUGGGGGCGCCUGCGUGCCCUGCAGGGCUGAGGGCCUGUUGCGGGGCGGCUGCCUGGCGCCUCUGCAAGGUCUUCCUCCCUCCCUGCAGCUCCGAUCCGCUGCCGGGGAGGGAAACGACCCCGACAGAAACCCGAUUGGAAGCGGGAAGGUUACGCCUCGGAAACAUCUGCCUCCCCCAGCUCGACCAUGCUUCCCCCACCCAGUGAGGCUGAGCUGCGGCUUUCAGUCUGAGCCCCUGCGGCCCGCAGAGGCUGCUGCUGGGCUGGGCCCGGGCGGCACUAGGCUCGCACCUCGGCCCGUCCCCCACAGGAGGGGCCUCGGUUUUCUUCUCUGCACGUUUGCGUUUGGGGGAGCCUCCUGCCUCCACUCACUGCCACGGAGGGACUGGGCCAGGCCCUUGAUUCAUUUGGACCGGUCCAAAGUCUGCACUCCUACUUUGGCCCCUUGCCUCUCAGACCUUCUGAGAGCUGACCCCUUGGGAGAUGAAAGUCUAGGCUCUGCCAGCAGCCUUCAAAAUCAGUCCGAGGCCAGGCAAACUUUGCAGCACUCGUUUGCAGAGCUGGGGAUCCCUCCACAGGUGACACUGGUCUGCCACCCCCGCCUCCCAGACUGUUUCUCUCUCCAGCCUAUUCUCGAAAUAGCCCUCCAGGCACACGCUCUCCUCCGCCACCCACGACUUGCACACCCCUCCGAGCACACAGGCACGCACGAAUUCACCCUCAAGCACACUUCUCCCAGCGCCAUUCUGGUGAUUCCUGGUCCCUGGGGUUAACCCCACCCCGACACACACAGCAAACUUCAUCCUCCACCCUUAUCUCCCGUCCUUUUCAAGGCACUGGCGACAGGCCACUGCAUUUCCUUCCUCGUCUGCAGCCUCUCUUCCCCCUCAAAUACUUCACGUCAGCCCCCUCAUCUUCAUCCUCUCUUCCUCUAAAAAACGUGUUAAUUAAAAUGUAGUUUCCUCUGCCCACAUAUGAAGUGUGGCAAACGAAUCGCAUUCUUGGCACACACUGCAAUUCAUUUAUCCUCCUUUUCUCUCUCCACUGGACUAAAGCUAUAGAAAUUUUAGUCUGCCACUAUCUCCCAUUUUUCUUAAAAAAAAAAUUAUCCUGACCAUGCCUUAUUAUUUUUAAAUACUCCUCAACAUUCGUGGGGAAGUCUUGCUAAGGCUUAAGGAAAAAAAGAUAUUUAGGAAACGCUCAGCCCGUCAUUUUAUUUGCCAUUUUAAAAUAUCUGCAGUGUUUGAGAGAGAGAUUGGGAGUGGCUGUGUUUUCUUCAUUUAAAAAGAAAAAAAUGCUUUGCAUGCAUCAAGGCUAGCCUUUUUAUGCAUACCCCCCCCAAAAAAAGUACUGUAGGAGCAUGUAUCAUUUAAUAGCCUGUACUGCACAGGACGUGUGCCAGACAGAACUGUAGACCCCAGCCCACCUCCAAAGGACGACAGAUUCACAUAACGUUUUCAGCAUGGCUGAUGAAGAGCGCAUUCCACGACCAUUCCCUUUCCCACGGUUCCUAAACAAAACGGAUGUGGGAAACAAGGAAAUCCAGAGAAGCAAAAUCGGGACAAUUUAGGAAGAGAGCUGGUGUUAAAGCUGAGGGCCCAUUCUCCACACAGAAGCAAGAUCCAUAACCCUGCCCUUAAUCUAGCCAAAAUGUCCGGAAGCACUACACAUACACUCCUGAGUCUUCCUUGACUGACAGCCUAAGUUGCCCGCUUCCAGUACUUUCUAUGAGUCUACUCACUUCCCAAGAUGGUCCUGCGAGACCAGAGUGGGGUCUUUUAGAAGAGGCUGACAUAUAAAGAAAAUUGGCUGCCUAACCGCUAGAAUAGUCAAGAUGUCCUUGUGUAUAAAGGAGCGGUUGCUGUUUGUGAAAGCAAAACAUAACAACAAUAUCCAGAUACAAAACAAGAUGGAUUCUGCACGUCCAGUUGUCUUGUUUAAGAUGCAAGCAGUAGGAGAUUGUCAUUUUCACCAUUGAAAUGUGGAGCACUGUUUUGAACCUUUGUGGGGGACUUACCAUGGGUGGGAGCUAUUGCAAUCUAUUUUAUUACUCAUUUAACCCUUAGCUCGCCAUCUGCAUCACCCUACUAUGCCCACUUAACAACACUGCAAUGGAGGCAUAGAGUGAUUUGCAUGAGAUCAAAGGGGAAGUCAGGGAAUAGCAGAUGUUGGAUUUUGAAUUCCUGAAACACAGUGGCCCCAGAACCCUGCAUUUCAACCCCUUUCAUUCCACCUUCUAACACUCUUUGGCAGUUGGGUGAGUCAGAUCCUGGCCCGUCCGUCUACCCAUGCUCAAGGUUCUCUCUGACUAUUUAAAGCUACAUUAAAAAAAAAAAAAAAAACUCCCUGAAGGAGGUAGUCAAAAUAAAUAGAAUUUCUGAGAUUCAGGUGGCUUGGAUGUUAAUCAUUAACUUAGUGGUAAAGCUUUAACGGCAGCCUUUACAGCAAUGUACUCACCAGGUUUUACAUUCAAUUCAACAGUAAAAAUUUAAGUAUCUAAUCUAAGUCAGACUCCAGACACAAGCCAAGGCCCUCAGUUUUCACAUUUGGUUUGCCUUUUGUUACAAAGAUUUUGGGGUGGGGGAUAGGUUCGUUUUUUCCCCCCCAAAAGGUGGGUUCUUUUUUUUCUGAGAGGUGGUUUCAUUUCUCUCUCAGGGAGGUAACUCAGAGACCAGCUGGGCCUCUCGCCUGGCAGAAGUGUGGGGCACACUUCUGAGAGCAGGGCCUCCAACUCACAAGGUCACUUCUGCCACAGGGUGGGUCUUCUUAGCCAUUCUCCUUCAAGUCUACCCGUGUCACACCAUGCUGCAGCCUGGUGCUGGUUCCUUUUGUUUCUUUUUCUUUUCUUUUGCUUUUGUGUGUUUGUUUGUUUUUCAAGACAGGGCUUCUCUGCCUAGCCCUGGCUGUCCUGGAACUCACUAUGUAGACCAGGCUGGCCUAGAACUCAGAGAUCUGUCCCCUCUGCCUUCCAAGUGCUGGGAUUAAAGGCCUGAGCCACCACCAAUACCCCCCUCCAGGAGUCAAGGUCUUCUCUCCUUUUUC
rnacentral:lncRNA from 1 species